GGGAGACACACGGCGGGUGCUAACGUCCGUCGUGGAGAGGGAAACAACCCUGACCAACAGCUAAGGCCCCCAAUUCGUGGCUAAGUGGGAAAGGAUGUGGGAAUCCCAAAACAACCAGGAGGUUGGCUUAGAAGCAGCCAUCCUUUAAAGAAAGCGUAAUAGCUCACUGAUCGAGUCGUCCUGCGCGGAAGAUGUAACGGGGCUAAGCCAGUUACCGAAGCUGCGGAUGUGCAAUUUAUUGCACGUGGUAGGAGAGCGUUCUGUAAGCCUGCGAAGGUGUCUUGUAAAGGAUGCUGGAGGUAUCAGAAGUGCGAAUGCUGACAUGAGUAGCGAUAAUGCGGGUGAAAAGCCCGCACGCCGUAAGCCCAAGGUUUCCUGUUCAACGUUCAUCGGAGCAGGGUGAGUCGGCCCCUAAGGCGAGGCAGAGAUGCGUAGCUGAUGGGAAGCAGGUUAAUAUUCCUGCACCGUCGUAUGAUGCGAUGGGGGGACGGAUCGCGGAAGGUUGUCUGACUGUUGGAAUAGUCAGUUUCUGGUUCAUAGAAGGCGCUUAGGCAAAUCCGGGCGCGUAAUUCAAGGGAUCGGGACGAGCGGCUUUAUGCUGCGAAGCAAUCGGAAGUGGUUCCAAGAAAAGCCUCUAAGCUUCAGUCAUACGAGACCGUACCGCAAACCGACACAGGUGGGCGAGAUGAGUAUUCUAAGGCGCUUGAGAGAACUCGGGAGAAGGAACUCGGCAAAUUGGUACCGUAACUUCGGGAAAAGGUACGCCCCGGUAGCUUGACUGCUUUGCUGCAGAAGGGUGAAAGGGUUGCAAUAAAAUGGUGGCUGCGACUGUUUAAUAAAAACACAGCACUCUGCAAACACGAAAGUGGACGUAUAGGGUGUGACGCCUGCCCGGUGCUGGAAGAUUAAAUGAUGGGGUGCAAGCUCUUGAUUGAAGUCCCAGUAAACGGCGGCCGUAACGAUAACGGUCCUAAGGUAGCG
rnacentral:rRNA from 1 species